rnacentral:lncRNA from 1 species
CCCUGGAGAGCUCACCAUGGCCCUCCCUCAAUUCAUCUUUGCUAUUUUGCUUUACUGCUCAGGUAAGGCUGUGGUGAUGAUUUCUUGUUAUAGAGGCAAAGCCAAAGAUAUUUGAAUCUGUCCUAGAAACAUAGUGCUUUGUGGGUAUUUGUGAAUGCUGAAAAUUAAUCUAGGUCCUCAUCUUUGCUUUUUCUGUUGUUGCUUCCCACUGCAAAGGUGUCUCUUCACAAUCAGCUUGGACACAGCCUGCCUCUGAAUCUGUGACCCUGGGACAAACGGUCAAACUCUCCUGUACUACUGGUGAAAGCGGUGACAACUACAUAUAUUGGUAUCAACAGAGACCAGGACAGGCCCCUCGCUUUGUGCACUGUGAGAGUUGCAGCAGGGGAGAAGGGAUCCCAGAUCGAUUUACUGCUUCCCGCUCUGGGAUCAUGGGCUAUUUAACCAUCAGCAACCUCCAGGCUGGAGACGAGGCCGUUUAUUACUGUUGCAGAUGGUAUAGCAGUGCUAGUGAGUUCCACGGUGAUACAAACGGAUGGGGAUGUGAGACAAAAACCUUUCCUCUUCCACCAAAGAGCAAUGAAAUGUGAAUGCUUAAGAAGAACUUCCUAUGCUUUGUGCUUGCAGCUGUUUUCAAGUCAUGGGCAGAUUUGCUUUAACUGGCCAUGACUGGCCAUACAGACAACUUAAUCCACACAGAUGCUGCCACUGCAGGGAACAAACAGAGAGUGAACAGACCCAAAGCAAGUUUUUGUUCGAUCAGGCCAGACGCUCCAAGUGUCCCUAUUUUGCAGUGAGUACUGAAUCUACAAAAGCCGUCCUGGUUUCUGAAUUGAUCCUGAAAGUCCCACUUUUCCUUAGAUCGUUCCAAUUUCCAUAUGAAAAAUGUUGGAAGGUAUGGAGUUAUUGAACCCACUAGCCAUUUGAAGACAGCCCUGUAUAGCCAAGUUUUUAAUGCUUAAUGUUUUAUUAUGCUUUUGUAUAUGUUGGAUGCCACCCAGAGGGGCACCCCAGUCAGAUAUGCAGCGUAUAAAGAGUUAAAUUAUUAUUAUGGGAUAGGAGGUCCCGAUUUUCAUUGGAGAAAUGUUGGAGGGUACAUUGACAGGCAUCUGCCUGAGGGUCACAUUCCCCACCUGGUAACUUUCCAUGGGACCCACAUUACUGGUGGGUGGGGCCAGAGGCAAAGGUGCAAUGAAUUGAUAUUUCACCUCUCUACUGUAGGCUAGUUUUCCCCACACUCCCUAUCCCCCAUUCAGGAAAGCGAGAGGCAUCAACGGAAUGCGAGGGAACAAACCGAGGCAGUGGAAGGUGUGGCUAGAGGAGAGUGGGUGUGGCCUAGAGCAGUGGCAAAGUGUGUGUGUGGGGGGGAAUGGGGUGCUUUUCCCACACACAAGGUUGUUAGGGGCACAAAAUUUGUACACUUGGUGCUGCCACAAUACAGCUGCAUACUUCCUUCACUGUGCUCGCUUGAAAACAGGUUCUCCAUGUGAAGCUGAGCUCUCCAGACAAUGGUGCGACACUCUUGUCUCUUUGGUUGCAAUCUCCUGGGUGAUGCAGAGGCCACUAGGCAGGUGAAUGUGCAUGCGUACUUUGUCCGUUUCCCUCCCACCCACCAUCGCUCUUCACGCUGGCCGCUGCAACCCAUGCUACACCACUGGCCUAGAGGGCCAAAUUGAGUCACUCUCAGACACAUUGCUCUCCGAGCUUGAGGCUCCUCACCUUGUUGCAUAUUGAUGAGCUGCUUCCGGUGUUGUCAACGGCUUCUGGCUAAUUGCCCAGGAAAUCAGAGAGGAAGAGAAAGAGUGCGCUUUCUAGUGACGCCCUGUGUGAUGCAAAAAUCAGGCACUGUCCCUGACUCUCGUCUUCCAUUGUGUUUCUUAGUUGUGGCACCUCAGGAGCUCUAGAUCCAAUGCCCUCCCCCUUCAGCUGGACAGAGAGUCGGGGAGAGAGGGAGGGAGAGAGGGAGAGAGAGAGAGGGAGAGAGAAUGUCUGUAGGAUACAAAAACUCCUGCUCCCUGACCCUCAUGUCUGCCCUGAUCCUACACCGAGUAACCAAGUGGACUCAGCUGGGUGAGACCAACUCCCCUCUGCUUUCAGAGGUGGUUCAACUGGUUUGGCCAAAUUGGAAACCGUGUGACAGGGGGUGCCACACCAAUGCUGUAGAAUGGGGCAUGAGACGUGGGAGCAUGUGUCCAAUUUUAGCAUCGCACAAGGCGCUGCUGAAUUCCGGGAGCCCAAAGACUGCCAUUUCUGCCCUCCCACGAAGGUCUCAGGGAUACCGUUCUUGUCACUCUUGCUGGCUGUGUGCCUUUUCAUCCCAAUCUCCGCUCCUCAUAUGUCAGAAGGUGGCAGCAGAGACUGUGCUACGUGAAAUACUGAGAAUGAAUGUUUUCUUCACCAAGUUUACGCAACAAUUCAAAGCUUAAUAGUUUUGUACACUGGGGGUAUGCAAACCCUGGCUGUCCUAGGUUGUCCAUGUUCAAAAAAGAUAAUGCAAAACAAGAAAAAUUCACAACCUUACUUUAAACUAUAUAAAGUUAAGAUACAAAGACAGACUGAACUUGGGAAGACAUUCUGAGAAUUAUGAACUUUUUUCAUUCCUACACAGUCCUCUGUCUCUCCAGCCCAUGUUAGGAAUGGACCCAAGUGAGAUGUUCCACUCUAUAAAAAACAGUGUUUCCAGGACCCUUCCUGAAAGAUGUCUCACUCAUGACAUCCUGGCUGAACUAUGGGCCAGUCCUGCUGCUUUGAAUAAUCUCCUUUAUGCAAAUCUGCCCUUGGGCUCUUUGAUUGAAUGUCCCAUAAUGCUCUGCAGGAUCUCCAAACCCCAAUAGAGGCAACUGAUGAUCACAGAAGAUAUUUGCAUGAAUGGGCAGCUCUUCAGCUCCGGGGGAUUUAAGAGAGGAGUGAGGAAGUUUCCUAUAGAAGUUCAAAGUCCUCUGGAGAGCUCACCAUCAUGUCUUCAUUUCUCUUUCUCUUUGCUCUUUUUAUUUACUGCUCAGGUAAAGCUGUGGAGAAGAUCUCAUGUUCCAUUGGCCAACCAAAAGCUAACUGCAUUUAUCAUUUUUAUUUAUUUGAGAGCACUAAAAAUGUCCCCUUUCUCCAUAUUUUUUUAAACAGGGGUCACCUGCCAGUCAAUUUGCACUCAGCCUGCCUCUGAGUCUGUGUCGCCGGGUCAAACCAUUAAACUCUCCUGUACUACUAGUAAUACUGGCGCCUACAUUGGCUGGUAUCAACAGAGAUCAGGGCAGGCCCCUCGCUUUGUGCACUGUGAAACUGGCAGCAGGGGAGAAGGGAUCCCGGAUCGAUUCACGGCUUCUCGCUCUGGGAACAUUGGCUAUUUAACCAUCACCAACGUCCAGGCUGGAGAUGAGGCCGUUUAUUACUGUGGCAGAUGGUAUAGCAGUGCUAGUGCGUUCCACAGUGAUGCAAACUGAUGGGGAACUGAGACAAAAACCUUUCCUCUCCCACCAAAGAGCAGUGAGAUGUGAAUACCAAAAACAAACAUCAUCUAAUCUGUGUCUACAUCUGUUGUCAAGUCCAUCCUACUCUGGAUGGAACCAGAAGAGACAGAAAACUCUGAAUUCCCACCUCCUUCCUCACAGCAGGACCUUGGAGCUGCCAGCCCAGCACACCCUCAAGUCAGCCCUUCCCAGUGGAUGAAAGAUCUGCUUUGGGAAAGUCAGGCUGUAGAUUUCAUAUCUUUGCAAAAUAGGAGUCUGUUUUAGGAAUUGUGAGCUAUAGCAUAAAUGUCACCUGUGGAUUGCUAGGUUGGUCUUCACUGAGCAUAUUAUAAUAUCAUUAUUAUUUACUAAGCAUUAUCAUUAUGAUUACUAUUAUUACAGGCUCAGGUUGUAUAUAAAGGUAAAGGAACCCCUGACCAUUAGGUCUAGUUGUGGCCGACUCUGGGGUUGCGGCACUCAUCUCGCUUUAUUGGACGAGGAAGCCGGCGUACAGCUUCCGGGUCAUGUGGCCAGCAUGACUGAGCCGCUUCUGGUGAACCAGAGCAGCACACGGAAACGCCGUUUACCUUCCUGCCGGAGUGGGACUAUUUAUUUGCUUGCACUGAGUGCUUUCAAACUGCUAGGUUGGGAGGAGCAGGGACUGAGCAACAGGAGCUCACUCCGUUGCUGGGAUUCGAACCGCCGACCUCCUGAUCGGCAAGUCCUAGGCACUGUGGUUUAACGCACAGCGCCACCCGCAUUCCUUCAGGUUGUAUAUAUGUGUAUAUAAAAUACAUAUCAUAAAGACACCACAAUCUCCAAUGGGCCUCAUUACGAAUGGAAAGACGAACCCUGGGAACCACUUGGAACCACUGGAACCUCCCACCACUUGGAGAUUGAGGUGGCUUGCAAAAAUAGGCUUUGUGCCUGCAGUUGCUGUCAAGUCUAGCUUCUUCCGCAUAGAACUUAUAAGAGAAAAAUAGCAAAUUUGAAGUCCCCCCUGCAGUACUGCUGGUACUGCAGCUACAAGGACUUUUAUGCUUUUUCCAUGAUUCUAGACAUGAGUCUGCCUGGUUUUGCCUUUGCCCUGCUCCUUUCCCCUGGAAAACCUGCUCUUCACCCCUCAAUUGGAACAACCAGCAAUCCGUGGAAAGUCCGACUACCAUAUGCUGCCAUUCAGCAGUAAAUUGCAGGUUUUCCCUGGGGAAAUAAGCAGGGGAAACGGAGCGGUGCCCUUCCAUUUUGAUCAAAGUUGUCGUUUUGGAAAGGCUUGUGAGUUUAUAUCUAUUUAGAUCCUUUUUAGGAGAUGUGAAAUAUUACAGACAGGCAUGCCAAUUGUGGAGUGGGCUGCCUAAAAUAUAUUGUCAAGGAGGGGCCAGGCCCCACAAAGAACCCCAGCGGAUGUGCGCACCCACCGCGGGGCAUGCUUGCGUCACUUUUGCAAGCUGCAGGGCAUGUGCACAACAUAUCAGCACACGCCAUGACAUUCGUAGGUGACGUCAGAACUGAGUUUGUGCAGCCCUGGGCCUGUCAGUUGCAGGGACAAGGGGGUGCCCUUGAUGGCAGAGAUGCUAUUUUCCAAAGCAUACUUUCCCGGACAGUAGGAAGCUGCUGUCACCAUCCCUACCGCUUGGGAAUUUCCCUUGGAUCUUGUCCCUGCUGAAGGUCACGUGCCUUUUGUUCACAAUCUCUGCUCCUUAGAAGUAGGCUGCAGAGAGCGUCUCAUUGGAAAUGUUCUCUAUCCCAAUGUGUUCUGCAAUACAGUAAUGUGAGCCUUAAUACAGCAGGUGAGGGGAAACGGUGGCCUUUUAGAAACGCUUGGACUCCCAUCAGCCCCAGUCAGCAUGGCGAAUGGCCACACACAUUUGGGCCUUUCUCCAAGGUGUUGCUAAACUCUGAAGCUGCCUCUUGCUUGUCUGGAGGGACGAUAGAAAGAGAUGUGUGAAGACACUUCCGCAGUAGACAGAAGUAAAAUUUAGAACUAUAGCUCCACCCACUUGUUCCUCUGGUCUCUCCUACCAUUGGCAGGUGCCCUGCUCAGUCCAUGGCUUUAACCAGCCUCUUCCCCCCCUCUCCCAGACCUGAACAGAGUCUGAAACUAGCAUUUUUUUCUCACCAAUAGCUUAGAAACCUUUACCUUUUGUAACUAAGCAACAUUUUUCAUAUUUCCUGACUGGUGAUUUACUGCUGGCUCACUCCCGUCACUAACCCAUUCCUAUUUUACUUUUUUAAAAAGAAAGAAAGAAAAUCUGUCCUAUUCUCCUCUGUUUGAAUGUCCCACAAUGCUUUAAAGGAACCUGAAAUUCUAGGAGUGGCGUUUGGUUAUCCACAGAACACAUUUGCAUGAAGGGGAAAGCCUUCAGCACUGGGAAAUUUAAGAGAGGAGAGGGCAAGAUCCACUCAGAAAGGCAAACUCCCCUGGAGAGCUCACCAUGGCCCUCCCUCAAUUCAUACUUGCUAUUUUCGUUUACUGUUCAGGUAAGGCUGUGGAGGUGAUCUCUUGUUCAAGAGGCCAAGCCAAAGAUAUUUGAAUCUAUCCCAGAAACAUAGUGCUUUGUGGGUGUUUGUGAAUGCUGAAAAUGAAACGAGGUCCUCAUCUUUGUUUUUUCUGUUGUUGCUUCCUCCUACAAAGGUGUCUCUUCACAGUCAGAUCCGACUCAGCCUGCCUCUGAGUCUGUGACCCUGGGACAAACGGUCAAACUCUCCUGUACUUCCAGUAACCGUGGCAGCAACUACAUUCAUUGGUAUCAACAGAGAUCAGGAAAGGCCCCUCGCUUUGUGCAGUAUGAUGGUAGCAGCAGGGGAGAAGGGAUCCCGGAUCGAUUCACCGCUUCUCGCUCAGGGAACAUUGGCUAUUUAACCAUCACCAAGGUCCAGGCUGGAGAUGAGGCUGUUUAUUACUGUGGCAGAUGGUACGGUCUCACAUCCCACAGUAAUACAAACUGAUGGGGAAGUGUGACAAAAACCUUUCUUCUUCCACCAAAGAGCAGUGAGAUGUGAAUGCUUAAAAAGAACUUCCUAUGCUUUGUGCUUGCAGCUGUUGUCAAGUCAUGAGUAGAUUUGCUUUACUGGCCAUGAUCGGCCAUACAGACAGCUUAAUCAACACAGAUCCCACCACUGCAGGGCACAAACAGAGAGUGAACAGACCCCAAACAAGUUCUUGGUAGAUCAGGACAGACGCUCCAAGUGUCUCUAUUUUGAAGGGACAGUCCUGGAUUUACAGAAGCCGUCCUGGUUUCUGAUUUGAUCCCAGAAAGUCCUGCUUUUCCUCAGGACAUCCCUAUGUCCAUAGUAGAAAUGUUGGAGGGUGUGGAGUUAUUUCACCCCCGAGCCAUCUGAAGACAGCCUUGUAUAGGGUGUGGAGUUAUCCGACUCCCAAAACAUCAAAAGGCAGCCAUGUAUGGGAAAGUUUUUAAUGCUUAGCGUUUUAUUAUGCUUUUAUAUAUGUUGGAAGACAGCCAGAGUUGCAACGCAGUCAAAUGGACAGGGUAUAAAUGGUAGAAUUAUUAUUAUGGGAUAGGACUUCUCUGUUUUCAUUGGUGAAAUAUUGGAGGGUAUGUUGACAAACAUCAGCUCCACAGUCACAUUCCCCACCUGGCAACUUUCCAUGGGUCUCAUGUCACUGGUGGGCGAGGCCAGAGGCAAAGGUGCGAUGAAUGGAUAUUUUACCUCUCUACUGUAGGCUCCCUGAUCCUCAGGUCUGCCCUGAUACAGCACCGAGUAUCCAGUUUGGCCCAGCUGGGUGAGACCAACUGCACUCUGCUCUCAGAGGUGGUUCAACUGGUUCAGUCGAAUUGGGCAUUGUGCUACAGGGGGUCCCACACCAAUGCUGUGGAACGGAGCAUGAGGGGGAGGGGCAUGCACCAAAUUUUAGCAUUGCACAGGGCGCUGCUGAAAUCUGGGAGCCCAAAGACCGCCAUUUCUGCUCUCCCACGCAGGUCUCAGGGAUAUUGUUCUUGUCACUGUUGCAGGCUGCGUGUCUUUUCAUCCUAAUCUCUGCUCCUCAUAUGUCAGAAGGUGGCAGCAGAGACUGUGCCGUUUGAAAUAACAAGAAUGAAUGCUUUCUUCACCAAGUUCAUGCAAUAGUUUAAAGCUCAAUAGUGUUGUACAGCGGGGGUAGGGAAACUCUGGCCUUUCAGAAGUUGCUGGACUCCAACUUCCAUCAGCCCCGGCCAGCAAGAGCAAUAGAAGGAUGCAAAGAGCAGGCGGACCAAUCGGCCCCUUUCUGUGCAGGAGGACGUAGAGUAGGCUGGCCAGAGUGCGCAGCUUGGUUUGUGCAGCCCUGAGGAGUGGGUGUUCUUCCUCUCUUUUGAACUUCUCAAUCAUUUGUUUCACUGAUUCAUUUCAUAAUAUUUCUACACCACUUGAUUGUAUUAAAAAGAAAUCCAAUAAGGUUACGAAGAGAUAAGAAAAGAAAAUGAAGAAAAAUUCACAAACUUACUUUAAACAUAAGAAGCUAAAAUACAAAAAGAGACUGCACUUUCUAAGACGUUUUAAGAAUUUUGAGCUCUUUCCUAUCCUACACAGUCCUCUGUGCAUCCUGCCCAUAUUAGGAAUAUUCCCAAGUGAGAUGUUCCACACUAUAAAAAGCAGUGUUCCCAGGACCCUUCCUGAUAGAUGUCUUACUGCAAAGAGUUCCUUCAUGGCUGUCUCAUCACAAUCUGGCUGAACUAAGGGCCAGUCCUACUGCUUUGAGAAAUCUCCUUUAUAUAAAUCUGCCAUUGCCCCCUUUGAUUAAAUGUCCCAUAAUGCUCUGCAGGAUCUCCCAAUCCCAAUCGAGGCAAUCGAUGAUCACAGAAGAUAUUUGCAUGAAGGGGCAGCUCUUCAGCUCUGGGAGAUUUAAGAGAGGAGUGCGGAAGUUUCCUUCAGAAGUUCAAACUCCUCUGGAGAGCUCACCAUCAUGUCUUCAUUUCUCUUUCUCCUUGUUCUUUUUCUUUACUGCUCAGGUAAAGCUGUGGAGAAGAUCUCAUAUUCCCUUGGCCAACAGAAAGCUAAUAGCAUUUAUCAUAUUUUUUUUAUUUGAGAACAGUGAAAAUGUUAUUUUUUCUCAUUUUUUUUAAAACAGGUGUCAACUGCCAAUCAAUUUGCACUCAGCCUGCCUCUGAGUCUGUGGUGCCGGGUCAAACCAUUAAACUCUCCUGUACAACUAGUGAUACUGGCGACGCUGUUCGCUGGUAUCAACAGAGAUCAGGGCAGGUCCCUCGAUUUGUGCAGUAUGAGGGUAGCAGCAGGGGAGAAGGGAUCCCAGAUCGAUUCACAGCUUCUCGCUCUGGGAACAUUGGCUAUUUAACCAUCACCAACGUCCAGGCUGGAGAUGAGGCCGUUUAUUACUGUUGCAGAUGGUAUAGCAGUGCUAGUGGGUUCCACAGUGAUGCAAACUGAUGGGGAACUGAGACAAAAACCUUUCCUCUUCCACCAAAGGGCAGUGAGAUGUGAAUACUGAAAACCAACUUCAUGUAAUCUGUGUCUACAUCUGUUGUCAAGUCCAUCCUACUCUGGAUGGAACCAGAAGAGACAGAAAACUCUGAAGUCUCACCUCCUUUCUCACAGCAGGACCUUGGAGCUGCCAGCCCAGCACACCCUCAAGUCAGCCCUUCCUUGUGGAUGAAACAGCUGCUUUGGGAAAGUCAGGCUGCGGACUUCCUUUUCAUUGCAAAAUAGGAGUCUGAUUUAGGAAUGUUGAGUUAUAGCAGAAAUGCCACCUGCUGACUGCUAGGUCAGUCUUCAUUGAGCAUAUUAUAAUAAUAUUAUUAUUAUUGACUGAACAUUAUUAUUAUUAUUAUUAUUAUUAUUAUUAUUAUUAUUAUUACAGGCUCAGGUUGUAUAUAUGCGUAAAUAAACCAUAUAUCAUAAAGACACCACAAUCUCCAAUGCGCCUUAUUCCCAAAGGAAAGACGAACCCAGGGAAACGCCUGGAAACCCUGGAACCUCCCACCACUUGGAGAUUGGGGUGGCGUGCAGAAGUAGGCUUUGCACCUGCAGUUGCUGUCAAGCCAAACUUCCUCUGCCUCAAACUUGUAAGAGAAAAGAACACAUCUGAAGUCCCUCCUCCUCCUCCUGCAGAGCAGGACCCUGGACCUCAUUCCUAUCCACACCCGGAGUGCCAGGCUUCCGCAGAUUCCUAGGUCUUGUCCACAUCUCUGCUUAUCCCAUUCCUGGAAACCACAAAUAAAAGCUGUUUUAUGCUUUGCUCCUGCUUUCUAGACAGGAGUCUGGCUGGUUUUGCCUUUGCCCUGCUGCUUUCCCCUGGAAAACCUGCUCUUCAACCCUAAAUCGGAAAAACCAGCAAUCUGCGAAAAAUCUGAUUGCUGUUUGGUGCCAUUCAGAAGUAAAUCUGAUUGCCAGACCUUCCAAGUGUCCCUAUUUUGCAGGGUCAGUCCAGAAUCUACAAAAGCUGUCCUGGUUUCUGAUUUGAUCCCAGAAAGUCCCACUUUUCCUUAGAUCGUCCGAAUUUCAAUCUUAGAAAUGUUGGCGGGUAUGGAGUUAUUGAACCCAGAAGCCAUUUGAAGACAGCCCUGUAGAGCCAUGUUUUUAAUGUUUAAUGUUUUAUUAUGCUUUUAUAUAUCUUGGAUGCCACCCGGAGUGGCACCCCAGUCAGAUGGGCAGGGUAUAAAGAGUUAAAUUAUUAUUAUGGGAUAGGAGGUCCCGAUUUUCAUUGGAGAAAUGUUGGUGUGUACGUUGACAGGCAUCUGCCCGAGAGUCAUAUUUCCCCACCUGGUAACUUUCCAUGGGUCCCAUGUCACAGGUGGGUGGGGCCAGAGUCAAAGGUGCCAUGAACGGAUAUUUUACCUCUCUACUGUAGGCUGGUUCCCCCAACACUCACUAUCCCCCAUCCAUGAAAUGAGAGGCAUCAGUGGAAUGCUAGGGCACAUCCUUGCCAGGCAGAAACCCUUGGGGUGCAAACAGAGCCAGUGGAAGGUGUGGCUAGAGGAGAGUGGGUGUGGCCUAGAGCAGUGGCAGAGUGUGUGGGGGGGAAUGGGGUGCUUGCCCCAGACACAAAAUUGUAAGGGGCACAAAAAUUUGUACACUUGGUGCUACCUCAAUAUAACUGCACACUUCUGUAAUGUGCUCCCUUGAAAAAAGGUUCUCCAUGUGAAGUUGACCUCUCCAAACAAUGGAGCGACUCUUAUUUUCUUGUCUCUUUGACUGCAAUGUCCUGGGUGAUGCGGAGGCUGUUAGGCAGUUGAAUGUACAUGCGUACUUUAUCCGUUUCCCUUCCACCCCCUCUGCACUUGGCCCCGGGUGCUGCAACCCACGCUACACCACUGGCCUAGAGGGCCAGACAGAGACACAUUGCUCUUUCACCAUCUCUGCUCCUCAUAUGUCAGAAGGUAGCAGCAGAGACUGUGCCUUUUGAAAUACGAAGAAUGAAUGUUUUCUUCACCAAGUUUAUGCAACAAUUCAAAGCUUAAUAGUUUUGUACAGCAGAGGUAUGGAAACCCUGGCUGUCCUAGGUUGUCCAUGUUCAAAAAAGAUAAUGCAAAACAAGAAAAACUCACAAUGUUACUUUAAACCCAAAGGGUGCUCAUCAAUGGUUCCUCUUCAUCCUGGAGAAGAGUGACUAGUGGGGUGCCACAGGGUUCUGUCUUGGGCCCGGUCUUACUCAACAUCUUUAUCAACGACUUGGAUGAUGGACUCAAGGGCAUCCUGAUCAAAUUUGCAGAUGACACCAAAUUGGGAGGGGUGGCUAACACCCCAGAGGACAGGAUCACACUUCAAAACGGCCUUGACAGAUUAGAGAACUGGGCCAAAACAAACAAGAUGAAUUUUAACAGGGAGAAAUGUAAAGUAUUGCAGUUGGGCAAAAAAAAUGAGAGGCACAAAUACAAGAUGGGUGACACCUGGCUUGAGAGCAGUACAUGUGAAAAGGAUCUAGGAGUCUUGGUUGACCACAAACUUCACAUGAGCCAACAGUGUGACGCGGCAGCUAAAAAGCCAAUGCAAUUCUGGGCUGCAUCAAUAGGAGUAUAGCAUCUAGAUCAAGGGAAGUAAUAGUGCCACUGUAUUCUGCUCUGGUCAGACCUCACCUGGAGUACUGUGUCCAGUUCUGGGCACCACAGUUCAAGAAGGACACUGACAAACUGGAACGUGUCCAGAGGAGGGCAACCAAAAUGGUCAAAGGCCUGGAAACGAUGCCUUAUGAGGAACGGCUAAGGGAGCUGGGCAUGUUUAGCCUGGAGAAGAGGAGUUUAAGGGGUGAUAUGAUAGCCAUGUUCAAAUAUAUAAAUGGAUGUCACAUAGAGGAGGGAGAAAGGUUGUUUUCUGCUGCUCCAGAGAAGCGGACACGGAGCAAUGGAUCCAAACUAGAAGAAAGAAGAUUCCACCUAAACAUUAGGAAGAACUUCCUGACAGUAAGAGCUGUUCGACAGUGGAAUUUGCUGCCAAGGAGUGUGGUGGAGUCUCCUUCUUUGGAGGUCUUUAAGCAGAGGCUUGACAACCAUAUGUCAGGAGUGCUCUGAUGGUGUUUCCUGCUUGGCAGAGGGUUGGACUCGAUGGCCCUUGUGGUCUCUUCCAACUCUAUGAUUCUAUGAUUCUAUGAAACUUUAAAAAGUUAAGAUACAAAGAAAGACUGAACUUUCUAAGACGUUUUAAGAAUUAUGAGCUCUUUUCAUUCCUACACAGUCCUCUAUCUAUAAAGCCCCAGCUAGGAAUGUUCCCAAGUGAGAUGUUCAACUCUAUAAAAAGCAGUGUUCCCAGGAGCCUUCCUGAUAGAUGUCUUACUGCAAAGAGUUCCUUCAUGGCUGUCUCAUCACAUCCUGGCUGAACUAAGGGCCACUCCUGCUGCUUUGAAUAAUCUCCUUUAUGCAAAUCGGCCCUUGGGCUCUUUGAUGGAAUGUCCCAUAAUGCUCUACAGGAUCUCCAAAUACCAACAGAGGCAAUCGAUGAUAGUGGAAGAUAUUUGCAUGAAGGGGCAGCUCUUCAGCUCUGGGGGAUUUAAGAGAGGAGUGAGGAAGUUUCCUCCAGAAGUUCAAACUCCUCUGGAGAGCUCACCAUCAUGUCUUCAUUUCUCUUUCUCCUUGCUCUUUUUAUUUACUGCUCAGGUAAAGCUGUGGAGAAGAUCUCAUGUUCCAUUGGCCAACCAAAAGCUAACUGCAUUUAUCAUUUUUAUUUAUUUGAGAGCACUAAAAAUGUUCCCCUUUCUCCAUAUUUUUUUAAACAGGAGUCACCUGCCAGACAAUUUGCACUCAGCCUGCCUCUGAGUCUGUGGCGCCGGGUCAAACCAUUAAACUCUCCUGUACAACUAGUGAUACUGACUCCUACAUUGGCUGGUAUCAACAGAGAUCAGGGCAGGCCCCUCGAUUUGUGCAGUAUGAAGGUAGCAGCAGGGGAGAAGGGAUCCCGGAUCGAUUCACGGCUUCUCGCUCUGGGAACAUUGGCUAUUUAACCAUCACCAACGUCCAGGCUGGAGAUGAGGCUGUUUAUUACUGUUGCAGAUGGUAUAGCAGUGCUAGGGCGUUC